ACCUGGCUAGCUCAGUGGGUAGAGCACGUGACUCUUGAUUUUGGGGUCGUGAGUUCAAGCCCCAUGUUGGGCA
rnacentral:tRNA from 1 species